rnacentral:rRNA from 1 species
UACGGAGGGGGCUAGCGUUGUUCGGAAUUACUGGGCGUAAAGCGCACGUAGGCGGCUUUGUAAGUUAGAGGUGAAAGCCCGGGGCUCAACUCCGGAAUUGCCUUUAAGGCUGCAUCGCUAGAAUUGUGGAGAGGUAAGUGGAAUUCCGAGUGUAGAGGUGAAAUUCGUAGAUAUUUGGAAGAACACCAGUGGCGAAGGCGACUUACUGGACACAUAUUGACGCUGAGGUGCGAAAGCGUGGGGAGCAAACAGG